AGUGAACGCUGGCGGCGUGCUUAACACAUGCAAGUCGAACGAGAACGGGUUAUAGCUUGCUAUAAUUGUCAGCUAAGUGGCGCACGGGUGAGUAAUGUAUAGGUAAUAUGCCUCUUACUAAGGGAUAACAAAUGGAAACGUUUGCUAAUACCUUAUACUCCUUAUUAACCUAAGUUAAUAAGGGAAAGAUUUAUUGGUAAGAGAUUAGCCUGUAUUGUAUCAGUUAGUUGGUGGGGUAAUGGCUUACCAAGACUAUGACACAUAACUGGUUUGAGAGGAUGAUCAGUCACACUGGAACUGAGACACGGUCCAGACUCCUACGGGAGGCAGCAGUGGGGAAUAUUGCACAAUGGACGAAAGUCUGAUGCAGCAACGCCGCGUGGAGGAUGACACAUUUCGGUGCGUAAACUCCUUUUAUAUGGGAAGAUAAUGACGGUACCAUAUGAAUAAGCACCGGCUAACUCCGUG
rnacentral:rRNA from 1 species